rnacentral:rRNA from 1 species
AUUGAACGCUGGCGGCGUGCUUAACACAUGCAAGUCGAACGAAGUGUCGAACGGGUGAGUAACGCGUAAUCAACCUGCCCUUCAGAGGGGGAAAACACUUGGAAACGACUGCUAAUCCCGCAUACUGAUGGAUGGGUUUGCGUCUGAUUUGGUAGUUGGAGGGAUAACGGCCAACUAAGGUGAUGUUCAGUAACCGGUCUGAGAGGAUGAACGGCCACAUUGGGACUGAGACACGGCCCAGACUCCUACGGGAGGCAGCAGUGGGGAAUCUUCCGCAAUGGACGAAAGUCUGACGGAGCAACGCCGCGUGAGUGAUGACGGCCUUCGGGUUGUAAAGCUCUGUUAAUCGGGACGCGGUACCGGAAUAGAAAGCCACGGCUAACUACGUGCCAGCCGCCGCGGUAAUAC